GGUUAACUAGCUCAGUUGGUUAGAGCGUCGUGAUAAUAUCGAAGAGUAUCCAUGCAUUUAAAGCGAAGGAGUUGGGUUCGAUUCCCACGUUGACCA